rnacentral:lncRNA from 1 species
GUGGAGUAAAGGUGGUCUAGAGUUUUUUUUCCCUCUGGUUGCACAUUUAAUAUGCUGGUAGAAAUUAGGUAAAACGGAUGUAAGUUUCCCUGCAUUAAAGUCCCCGGCCUCUUGGAGCAUCGCCUCUGGAUGAGUGUUUUCUUUUUUGCUUGUGGCCAUUGAUUGUGGUGGUAAAUAGACAGCUCCGAAGAAUAAUUCACUUUGUUACAGAUGGCAAAGGCAGAUUAGCCACUCGUCGAGCGAAUCCUUACAAGGCACCCCGAUCUCCUUCCGCAAUAUCUCCGUCUCUUCCUCCUGCGAAUGACGGGGAUGAGGGCCUUGUCUGGAGUCUGGAGUAUAUCCCUCUCGUCCGACUCAUUAAAGAAAAAUAAUUUGUCCAGUUCAAGGUGAGUAAUCGCUGUUCUGAUGUCCUGAAGCUCUUUAUGGUCAUAAGAGAUGGUAGCAGCAACAUUAUGUACGGUUGGUUAAGAACCCAUAAAACGGCAGCCAUCCCCUCUGGUGGCAUCUUCACAGUACGUUGGAUAGCUCCCUAAUCACUCCAAGUAGUUGCAGUGCCCUGGAUAUCUCCCGGACAUUUCAGUGCUUUGGAAGAUUGCCAUUCACAUCCAGCCAUUUCAGUACCUUGGAUAGUUCUCUAUUCACUCCCAGUCAUUUCAGCACCAUUUACAAAAGAGUAUCUCUCAAAAACUCACUCUCAGCACGUGACUGGGCCUGAUGUCUUCCAUAACUUCACAGUCACACUAACUCUCCACUCUCAUGUUCUUUUCAUGUUGCCAUAAUAAUGAAUGAUGGGACUGAUGUUUAGCUUGAAUUAUUGAAUACCGUGGUUUCCAACCACUCACUGUACGAUGGAAAGGACAUCUGAGUUCAAGUGACUUUGUAGUGGUACAAAACCAGUUUUCUGGUUAUUUUCUAAACUCAACCAAUUGAACGCAAUUGAUGCAAAUACCCAAAUGUCAGCUUUCAUCUACCCAUUACAUCAGAGAGGUAGAUAUUGUGUUCAGAGUUUAGUUUUAGAUUGAUAUUUCAACACUAUCUGGGUUCACUCUAUGUACCAUUCCAAAAGGUGUGAAAUAGAAUCCUGCCAACUGAAACUGUGAGGACUGGCAAUUAUAUGGUUUGAGAUUUAGGUAAGGAAGGCUAUUUUGUGACUUUUCUACAAUGCCUUAUUUUCUCUAAGCUACUGGAGGCCUUAAUGCUCAUGUUGUGUUCUUUGUAACUAUGACAACAAUUGUUCAUAUGAUGUAAAAACAUUGCUAACUUAAAUAGAACAGGAAUAGAACGUCCCCAUCCCAAACACCACAAGGCAGGACUAAUGGACUACUGAAUGGCAGGGCCACUCUCCUAUUAAUAACAUGGUUAAAUCCAUAUCACUCAUGAGUUUCCUAUUAACUUUUUAGUUGUUAGCAUUAGAUGUGCUGCCAAACCAUUGGUUUAGAGCAGGGCUGUUCAAUUCUGGUACUGGAGGGCCAAAACACUUUGUGUUUUCAUCCUCUGGAUCAUUCUGGAUAAUAUUGUGCAUAGACAUUUGAUAUGUUACUUUCCAUGUUUCUUCCCAAGAAUUAUGUAGACUAUUAUUCUUCACAAUUAAAAUCCAAGCCCUUUAUUCAUUGAUAUGUUUUCCUUGUCUUCAUGAACUAAUUUACGCAAACAUGACUCCAUUAGGUUAAUCCCGGGUGAUAAAACAUUAACACAGAGGAAAACGCAUUUUUGAAUUCUCCGGCUUCCCCUUCUGAGUAAGAGGUACCCUGGGAGCCUGAAGUUUAAGUGUUUCUUAGAAGGAGGAGCGGAAGGCACACUGGUUUAACAUUAUGCACACGAGAGCAGAAUGUGUUAGAGGCAGGAAUACAUAUUUGACAGUGAGUGAGGAAAGUGGUGCACUUCAGAGGCGAUGGUGAUGCACUGAGCAACAACAGGUUGUGAGAGCGUUGGAGUGGAAAUACUCCUACAAUAGCCAUUGCUCUGUUGUUAAGGGAUGUAAAAACACUGUUUCACUUCAGCACGUGACAUGUAGUGGUUAGAAUGUGUAUUUCAUAUAGAGGCCAAACUCUAUUACUCGCUGUCAAGUUAUAAUCAAAAUGGUGCAGUUACGGGAUGAUUUGCCGUUUAAUUGUCAUGACAAUUUCCAACCAUCCACUAGGGGCAAUGCUAGUGCCUGUUACCAUCCAAUAUAGGCUGAUGGGGGUACGGAUUGGCUAAAACUGCCAGCCAUGGCUCCGAGCAUCACACGUUCAAUCCCAAUGCUACUCGUUUCGUCAUUUUAAUUUUUCUGUUUCAACCCUAUAACAAACCUUAAACCUAACCUUAACCACAGAAUGAAUUUCUAAGCUUAUGAUGCUUGUAUAACCUUUUCCAUCAAAGGCCAAUAAAAUAAUUACGCUCUUGAUAAACUCAAUUGAUGGACUUUGCAAAACAACACACUGUGUUAUAACAAAUGUUAGUUCCUUGUAGAAAAGUCUAUGAAGCUCCAGUAUAACAACAAAGACAAGUCAUGUUAAUUCAAUAGUCGUAGCAAGAUAUCACAAGUAAGCAUCAUCGUGGCAAUUAGCGGCCGUUGUGAAAGCGCUCUGUGACCAAGUGAGGAUUCUAAUUACCUGAUCAUGACACAAUUAGAAAGAAAAACAAUAAAUUCUCACAAAGCUCCCAGCAAAUAAUUACUGAUCCUGGAUAUAAAUUAGUUUUCUUCUUGUUAAAGCUUUUCCAGGUUGAACGGCCGACAAAUUGUUUUGACAAGGCAGAGAAGGAGAGAAGCGAUCAGGACAGAGAGAUUACUAGGAGCUGACUAGGCUAUAGGUGGUCAAGCUGAAGGCAGGCCUUUCAUAUCAACACAGAGACUACAAAUGUGCUUUGAAGGAGAAUAUAGUGUGGAGGGGUCUUGAACCAGUGAGUGACCCACAAUUGUCUCAUCAAAAGUCCACAAUUAACUCGAUGCAUAUGAAACAAUAACUGUUUGAAGAGUCUGAUUGUCUAUUGUGGUCUAUUGUAGGUGUCACGUUCUGACCAGUAAAGGGGUUAUUUGUUAUUACUAGGUUGGUUAGGACGUGGCAGGGGGUUUUUGUUUUAUGUGGUUUGGGGUUUGUUGGGUUAUGUUAUUAUGUAAGAGGGGCGUUUGUUUAGAGUGUUCCGGGGUUUUUGGGCUAUGUUCUUGUUAGUUUAUUUCUAUGUUAGUUCUAGUCUUUCUAUGUCUAUGUUUAGUUAAUGGGGUUGACCUUCAAUUGGAAGCAGCUGCUCCUCGUUGCUUCUAAUUGAAGGUCUUAUUUAAGAGGGGUGGUUUUUCUAUGGUAUUUGUGGGUAGUUGUCUCCUGUUUAGUGUCUGAGCACCUGAUAGGACUGUUAGUGUCGUUCAUUUGUUUUGUAUACGUGAUUUGUUUGUUUUUCCUU